UACGGGGGGGGCAAGCGUUGUUCGGAAUUACUGGGCGUAAAGGGCGCGUAGGCGGCCAACUAAGUCAUACGUGAAAUCCCUCGGCUUAACCGAGGAACUGCGUCUGAUACUGGAUGGCUUGAGUUCGGGAGAGGGAUGCGGAAUUCCAGGUGUAGCGGUGAAAUGCGUAGAUAUCUGGAGGAACACCGGUGGCGAAGGCGGCAUCCUGGACCGGUACUGACGCUGAGGAGCGAAAGCCAGGGGAGCAAACGGG
rnacentral:rRNA from 1 species